rnacentral:rRNA from 1 species
UACAGAGGGGGCAAGCGUUGUUCGGAUUUACUGGGCGUAAAGCGCACGUAGGCGGAUUGUUAAGUCGGGGGUGAAAUCCUGGAGCUCAACUCCAGAAUUGCCUUCGAUACUGGCUUUCUAGAGGCUGGAAGAGGUUAGUGGAAUUCCCAGUGUAGAGGUGAAAUUCGUAGAUAUUGGGAAGAACACCAGUGGCGAAGGCGGCUAACUGGUCCAGAUCUGACGCUGAGGUGCGAAAGCGUGGGGAGCAAACAGG